GGGCGAAUGGCGGAAUUGGUAGACGCGCUAGGUUCAGGACUUAGUGUUCGCAAGGACAUGGGGGUUCAAGUCCCCCUUCGCCCA
rnacentral:tRNA from 1 species